UACGUAGGCAGCGAGCGUUGUUCGGAGUUACUGGGCGUAAAGGGUGUGUAGGCGGUUUUCUAAGUUUGGUGUGAAAUCUCCCGGCUUAACCGGGAGGGUGCGCCGAAAACUGGGAGACUAGAGUGCGGGAUGGGAGAGUAGAAUUCCUGGUGUAGCGGUGAAAUGCGCAGAUAUCAGGAGGAACGCCGGUGGCGAAGGCGGGACUCUGGGCCGAUACUGACGCUGAGGAGCGAAAGCGUGGGGAGCAAACAGG
rnacentral:rRNA from 1 species